CAGUGUAUGUGUUUGUGUGUGUGUGUAUGUAUCUAUAUAUAUAUAUAUACAUAUAUAUAUAUAUAUAUAAAUAUAUAUAUAUAUAUGUAUAUAUAUAUAGAUACAUACACACACACACACACACACACACGG